rnacentral:rRNA from 1 species
UACGAAGGGGGCUAGCGUCGCUCGGAAUUACUGGGCGUAAAGGGCGCGUAGGCGGAUAGUUUAGUCAGAGGUGAAAGCCCAGGGCUCAACCUUGGAAUUGCCUUUGAUACUGGCUAUCUUGAGUUCGGGAGAGGUGAGUGGAAUGCCGAGUGUAGAGGUGAAAUUCGUAGAUAUUCGGCGGAACACCAGUGGCGAAGGCGACUCACUGGCCCGAUACUGACGCUGAGGCGCGAAAGCGUGGGGAGCAAACAGG